rnacentral:rRNA from 1 species
GCUGGUUGAUCCUGCCAGUAGCAAAUGCUUGUCUCAAGGAUCAAGCCAUGAACGUGUAAGUACACAUGGCUGGCACAGCGAAACUGUGAAUGACUCAUCAAAUCAGUAAUGGUACCUUAGUUCAUUCCAUCUGUCACUUGGAUAAUUGAGGUAAUUCCCGGAACAAUACAUAACGAUGAGCGCUGACCUCCUGGGAUGCGUGCAUCAAUCAGACAAGAUCCAAAAGGGCUUGCCUGGCUGCUAUGGUGACUCUAGACAACAUGGGGGUGAUUUCACAUCCCUGUGAUGGUGACGAUACAGUUGGAUAUCUGCCCUAUCAACUUUCAAUUGUAGAGUCUGUCUCUACCAUGGUGACCAUGGGUAAUGGGGAAUCAUGAUUUGAUACUUUAGAGGGAUCCUGAGAAACAGGUACCACAUUCAAGGAAAUAAGCAGGUGCAUAAAUUACCCAAUCCUGACUCGGGGAUAGAGUACAAAAAAAAACAAUACAGGACUCUUAUGAGGCUGAGUAAUUGCAAUGAGUGCACUUUAAAUUCAUUAACAAGGAUCCAUUAGAGGGCAUGUCUGGUGCCAGUAUCUGCCAUAAUUCCAGCUCAAAAAGCAUAUCUGAAAUGGGUUGCAGUUAAGAUGCAUGUAGUUGGAUUGAGGGAUCAAGCUGGUGGUGUGCUACGAAGUGAGCAACUGUAUGUCCCAGCCCCUGCCUCUCAGUGCACCCUUGAAGCACUUGAGUGUCCUGGGGUCCAAAGCGUUGACUAUAUCAGAGUGUUCAAAGCCACCCAGUUACCUGAAUACCUCAGCCACGAUUAAUUGAAUAUGACAUUGCUUAUAUUGUAUUGGUUGUUGGAACUGUGCCCAUGAUGAAGAGAGACACCUGGGGGCCUUCCUUAUGUGCCACUAGAGUUGUGACUCUUGGAAUGAGACAAGAUGAUCCAAAGGGAAAGCAUUCGCCAAGAAUGUCUUCUUCAAUCCAGUAUGAAAGUCUGAGGUUUGAAGAUGAUCAGAUACUGUCAUAGCUCCAACCAUUAAUGAUGCUGACUGGCGUUUUGGUAGCGUUAUUCCCAUUACCUGCUGAGUGUCUUCUGGGAAAGCAUAGUCUCAGAGUUCCAGGGUGAGGAUGCUUUCAAAGCAGAAACAUAAAGGAAUUGACUCCAGGAGUGGAGCCUGUGGUUUGAAUUGACUCAGCAUGGGAAACUUCACCCGGCCUGGACAUGGAAAGGAUUUUCAGAUUGAUGGCUCUGUUUCCAUUCUGUGUGUGUAGAUUCAUGGCUGUUCUUAGUUGGCCAGAGCGAUUUGUGAGGUCAAUUCUGAUAAUGAAUGAGACUCCACCAUGCCAACUAGUCCUGUGACCCCCAGUGGUUGGUGUUGAACUCCCUAGAAGGACAAGUUGUGUUCCGCUACACGAGAUCAAGCAAGAACACAUCUGUGAUGCCCUUAGAUGUCUGUGGAUGCAUGUGUGCCACACUGAAUGGAUCACUGUGUGUCUUCUCUUUGCCGACACAUGCAGGUAACCUGUUGAACACGGUGUGUGAUAGGGAUUGGGGAUAUCAAUCUAUUCACAUGAAUGAGGAAUUCCCAGCAAGUGUGUCGUAAACUUGCAUUGAUGAAGUUCAUGCACUUCUACAUACUGACUGUUUCCACUACUGAUUGGAUGGUUGAAAGAGGUAAUCAGAUUGCCCCCCACCGGGGUCAGCAGCGUCCCUGGUGGUGCACAGAGUAGACAAUCAAACACGACUAUCUAGAGGGAGUAAGUCAAAACAAGGUUCCUGUAGGUGAACCUGCAGAAG